rnacentral:rRNA from 1 species
GUAGGGCGCAAGCGUUGUCCGGAAUUAUUGGGCGUAAAGAGCUCGUAGGCGGCUUGUCACGUCGGGUGUGAAAGCCCGGGGCUUAACCCCGGGUCUGCAUUCGAUACGGGCUAGCUAGAGUGUGGUAGGGGAGAUCGGAAUUCCUGGUGUAGCGGUGAAAUGCGCAGAUAUCAGGAGGAACACCGGUGGCGAAGGCGGAUCUCUGGACCAUUACUGACGCUGAGGAGCGAAAGCGUGGGGAGCGAACAGGAUUAGAUACCCUGGUAGUCCACGCCGUAAACGGUGGGAACUAGGUGUUGGCGACAUUCCACGUCGUCGGUGCCGCAGCUAACGCAUUAAGUUCCCCGCCUGGGGAGUACGGCCGCAAGGCUA